rnacentral:SRP_RNA from 1 species
CAUCUGGUUUGGCGGACGGGCGCCUUGGAACACUCGGUCAGGGGAGGAAUCCAGCAGCCGGCUCUCUGGCGUCCGGGUCGCCGCCGUGCAGCGUGCG